AAGUUCAGGUGUCACAUCCAUGAAACCUACACCACUAACCAGCAUCAGUCCUACAACUUCACUCUCAAAUUUAAUAAAUUCUGGGACAAGCAGAAACUGUAUUUUUAGCGGUGCAUUUUGUGGCAGGCCAGACUGCUAUAAAAUGCACUCUCCUUGUAGCACCACUUCGUCUUGGUUCAGAAGAGAUGUCCUGGAUACACAUGAUAAUGUAACACGGGUGUUUUUGUUUGUUCAUGUUUAGCGCGUUGGGUUGUGUUUUUAAAGCCAAUGUUACGUUUUUAAAGCGUGUUAUGCGACAGGUGUGUGUAGCACUGGUUACACAUCUCAGAGCAAUAGUCGAGACCACACCUUUACCUGACGUACAACGUGACGUAUGGCGCACACUUUCAAAACAACAAUGGCGGAUAGAAGAUAUUGAUCGAGGCGGCUAAUGCUCCUUUCGCUGGUUGCCAACCACCAUUAAAUAACAAGAAGAAGAAAAUAUUGAUCUGCUUUUCUUAGCUUUGCACGUUUAAGACGCAAUUCAAACUCAAACAAAGCUGCAAAGCAGGAGAACAACAUGGCCAUCAACUAUUCUCUGCCACAGAUCCAGCUCGCUGCAGCACAGAGUGAUGAUGAGACGGUGGAAGAACAACAGAGACAAUUUACGGACCGUUAACAUGUGCAACUUAGAAGUAGUCAGAGGUAACUGGAUGGAGUUCAGUCAGGUUAAAUGCACGGUUGAUUGGAUUAUAUCUGAAGAUCGUAUGCUAUUCAUGACAACUCUGCUAGACUCCAAAUUUCUCGUCCAUGCGGGAGUAUCUCAAAAGUAAAUGAAACAACUAAACUUAACACUUUUUCCCUAAAACGGACUGACAUGGGAAACAUUAAAGUUGGACUGACACCAGCUAAUCAGUCUGAAGGAAUCACAGAACAAGAAGGGAGACCACUGAGGAGAAGUUUUAUAAGUUCACGGGUGACCUCAGCUGUCAAGUUCCUGGAUGUGGACCACAGACAGCAGUCCAGGCGUCAGGUGGGAUAAAGGAGCAGGAAACAUCACCUGAUAAAGAAAAAACAGACAGCAGACUGAAUGAAUGUACGAAGGAAGCAAGUCCCCAUCACCUACUACACAAACCUCUUAAUCUCCAAUCUAAUCCAGUUCAGCGGGCUGAUCAUCAUUUUUAUCAUCAACAAAACCCGUGAACUAUUUCUCUAUCGCUAUGUUUCUCUUGGCAUUUUGUGCUGUGCUGUGAUUGCUAAUAUUAGCUUCAAGAUGUGCAUUGCUACUGAAAGGUAUCGGUCUGUCUUUCUCUGUCUGUAUUGCAUUCAAUCACAUUCUCAAGCGUCCCUCUAAAGAUAAAUGUCCUCCUGUAUUGACCAGUAUGUCUGUCUU